UUCAUGUUCUCUGAAGUCAAACGGGAGUCCUAAACUGUCAGGCUUAGCUGUAGUGGUAAUGGGUUUCUCUUUGGGGAUUGAAAUACACAUUCAUUUGUUUCCCAUUUGCUUUGCUGAUACAGCAGUCAUACUCUGGCAGGUGUUACCUGGGACUGCAGAGGGAUGAAAGCAGAAGUAAAUCACAUUGCUCUAUUGGGUUCUCAGACCAAUAGCAAGAAUUAAUGCUGCCCCGUGAAGACCAAAAUGCUUCUUGGGAGCCUGGGAAAACCAAUACAUCACUAAUGGUGCCAGCUAGCAUCCUGUAUCAAAACAAAGCUUGGUUCUGUAUUUGCAAACUUACUGAGUGCUAAAGUGUAGUCAUUCAAGGCUGAAAGUUGGGGUCAACCUGUGUGCGUUUCCAGCCAAGAGUGGACAGGAAGACGUGCUGAGGCAGUUCACAUACUGUGAAUCAAAGCUUCAAAAUGGCAACGAAAAAAUGAGGAGGAUCUGGCAUGCAAUAUUGCUGCAAUAUGCAGAGAAAAAUAAAGAAAAGCAAACAAGAGGCUGAUGCCUUUUACUUCUAAGCAAAGAGGGGCGGUGGUGAAAAUCAAUGUUAUUGGCCAACUGUACCUGCUGGCAAUAAUUAGGUAUUUCUAAGCAGCAUUUAACUCUACCACCCACCACCAUGGGUAGAAAUCUCUUCUAAAUCCUGUGAAAUUUAAUUACAAAUAUUUUUAAUGAAUCAGAAAUUUCUGGAAGAUGGAGAAUGCACUUUGCUCCUGUUUAUUCAGCCUCUUUCUCUGUGCCUAGCACAAGGUAGGCUCUGUUUGUAUUGAUGAAAUCACAAAUUCUGCUCCAGUUUUUGAAAAAGUUUGUCUCCCCAGCAAGUACAGCGUAGAAGCCAAAGUUUUUUUAGUAGACUCAUGUGAGACUUUAUCC